rnacentral:rRNA from 1 species
UACGGAGGAUGCAAGCGUUAUCCGGAAUGAUUGGGCGUAAAGCGUCCGCAGGUGGCAAUGUAAGUCUGCUGUCAAAGCGUCUGGCUCAACCAGAUAAAGGCAGUGGAAACUACAUAGCUAGAGUAAGGUAGGGGUAGAGGGAAUUCCCAGUGUAGCGGUGAAAUGCGUAGAUAUUGGGAAGAACACCGGUGGCGAAAGCGCUCUGCUGGACCUGCACUGACACUGAGGGACGAAAGCUAGGGGAGCGAAAGGG